UCUUUGUGUGAAUUGCUCGUUGCGGAAGAGAGCCAGGCAUUUUUUUUGCCUUUAUUGCAGAAUCUCUGUGUAAAAAUGGCUUAAGACUUGUCAGAGUGGCUUAAGUAUGAGUCUUAGUGCCAAGACUUCGAUAGUCAGAUUCCCAGUAAAGGUCAAAUGGAGAACAAGGGAAAAAGGUCAGAUGGACGUCAGGGACGACGUACCAUAUCCGUUCUUCAUGGAUCCAAAUACACAGAAGACAAACCAUCUGCUACGUCAGGGAUGAGGAAUGUUGAGGCAAAAGCAUAUUGCCCCUUCUGUGACACUGACACACAUUAGCUCAACCAGUGUUCGACCAUUUAGCAGCUCACUAAAGACCAAGUUUCCAGUUGGAUUUGGUCCCACAACAAAUGUAGGAGCUGUGUGAGGUCCAGUACCAGGCUGCACAGUGAUCUCUUAAGAAGCUCUGUGGCCUCUGCCAAGGCAAACAUCUACAAGUCCUCCAUGAAAUCAAUAACAGAGUACUAAAGGAGGAGUCAUCAGAGAAUAAUAAUAAUAAUCAUAAUAAUAUUAACUUUAUUUGUACAGCACCUUUAAAAACAGAGGUUUGCAAAGUACUUUGACAAUAAGCAGAAACACAAUUAAUACAAAGCAUCAUAGCACAAGCAAAGAACAUAAGACAAAACCACAUCAACAGGAGAACCCAUGAAAAAUAAAGCCAGCAGCAUAACUCCAGCAUCAUAAUCAUCCUAGUAGACCCAUUAUAGAGCCUAAAAACAUGCCGUUACAAAUACAUCAUGAAACCUAGAGAUAUAAAGUUCCAGAAUAAAAUAAGAAUAAAAGACACUAAAAACCCAGAAUAACAGACGAAUCCAGGCAACACAGGAACCCAACUACAUAAAAAGAGACCUAAGGACCAGAAAUGUAAGAGGUGGGUGGCAUUUUGAAUGUUAAAAUGUAUUAUUUCUGAUUUUGAGUUAUUGAGUUGAAUAAAAUUCUGUGCCAUCCAGCAAGUGAUAUCAUGUAGACAGUCUGUAACAGCAGCUAGGCUUCCAGGGUCCUCAGGUCUCAGAGGCAGGUAUAUCAGUUUGUCGUCUGCGUAGCAGUGAAAGGAGACCCGGUGAUUCUGGGUUAUUUGGCCAAGGGGCAGCAUAUAAAUGGAAAAUAAAAUGACCUAAAAUCAAACCUUGCAGUACACAAGCGAGAAUAGAGGUAGAGGAGGAGUGAUUACCUAUGGUGACCAAAAAGGUUCGCCAUAAAAGAUAGGAAUAAAACCAGCUAAGAGCAGUGUCCCUGAUGCCCACCCAGUUUCUAAGAUGCUCAAUUAAAAUAGCAUGAUCAACGGUAUCAAAAGCUGCAAUGAGAUCUAAAAUAAUUAAAAUGGCUCUCUCCCCUCUAUCAGCUGCUAAAAAUAAAUCAUUGGUCACCUUGCGGAAGGUCGUCUCAGUGCUGUGACCUGCUCUGAAACCAGACUGGAAUUUUUCAAAGAGGUUAUUGUGAGACAUAAAAGAUAAAAGCUGUGUAGGAACCACUUUUUCUAAAAUUUUUGAUAAAAAUGGAAGUUUUGAAAUAGGUCUUGUAUUAUUAAAAUCAGAGGGGUCCAGGUUGGGUUUCUUAAAAAGAUGUUGGACCACCUUCUGUGAAAGAACUAUUGAUUACUGAUAAAAUGCUGGGCCCAACUGUGUAAAAAAAAUCCUCCUUGAGAAAUUUGGUGGGGAUCUCAUCAAGAGUACUUGUAGCUGUUUUUAUCUGGGCUAAAAUUUCAGAUAAGGACAAGGACACCGGCUCAAAACUGCUAAAAUAAUUUAAAAUAUCCCUACUUGUGUUUAGAAUACAGGCUGGGGGCAUGAUGCUUUCCCUGAUGUCCUUGAUUUUCUUAUUAAAACAAACUAAAAACUUCUCAUAUAAAUCACUGGAAGCAUCAGUAAAAUGGGAAGGGGAAAGGAUGGUGAUGGACUCUAAAACCUUAAACUCUAGGAUUAGAAUGAUAAACUAAAAUUAAAUUAGAAUAAAAUGCUGCCCUUGUGUCUUUAACUGCCUUUUAAAAGUUUUUCAAUGCAUUCUUCCAAAUAUCUUUAAAAACUUUCAAACCUGAUUUCUUCCACUCUCUUUCUUUUCUUUUAUUCUGCAUUUUCUCUUUGACUCUCUUUCUCUGGCACUCUGUCAGCCACAGUUGGGUUGCAUUGUUUGACCUAUUCUCUUUAUAAGGGGCAACAGAGUCCAGGGCAGAUGUGAGCAGGGGGGCAACAGGAACCCAGCUUCCAUGCCAACCCCAGGAUCUUGCAGUUUUUGUGUCCCUGCAGUCCGAUCCACAGGUGCUGUGGAGAUGUCCUCUGCUAGCUUCCCUAAGGGGGAGCACCGCUCCUUUUGGAGGACCCUCAGCACAGCCCGGACCCGUGGCUCGACACAUAGAGUUCACCCAAGGUAGAGUUGCUACAGAGGCCGAAACCAGCUGUUACACCAGAGCGGAGGGUGGCGCUGGCUGCUGGCUGAUCCAUGGAUCCAGUCAUCCUUUUGCUGGAAUUCCAAAUCAAGGCGAUGUAGACUCUCCUCCAAAUAGAGCAGCUGAGGACAUGAAAGGAACACAUGCUGGAGGAAACCCUUCACAGGACUCCAUAAAGGGGGCUGUAAUCAUGUGGUGGAGAACCAGUUGUGCUUGGAUGGCUUUUAGGGCUCCCUGACCACAGGCCCUCAAAGUCUUAACAUCAUAAAAGAGAGACCUGCUCAUAUAAUGGGAUUACUGAAAAACAAAGGAAGCCUACCAUAAGCCUUCCUCUGAGGAGUUAUGUCUCAGUUUACCUGAGAGCCAUGAGGUUCAUAAUGUGAAUUUCAAGGAUUUGAAGGGUUGUCCUGUACCUUCAGUGUUCAGAUUGUGAGUCUGAAUAAGAAACCUGCACCCUGGUCAGGUCUGGUCUCUAACCAUGUACAGCUCAGAAGUCUUAGACAGCGAGUCCAUGUCUGUGACGCGUCAGGUAUCUGUGAAGGGAUCAUCCAGCACAAGAGGUUCCAUGUGUUUUGGCUGACAUACAUCCAAGUAAUUGAGACAGACUGAGGAAAUCUCCAGACCAAGAUUGAAGAGAAUGAAAUUUCAUAAGACCAAGAAGGCGGGGCAUUGAUGCUUUACCUUUGAGGGCUCAAGCAGCUGAGGAGAAGUUCAUGGUUUUCCAAGAAAUGAAGCUCAGUGGAAGCUGAAGCAGGUAUUCAAAGUCAAAGCUGCGACCCUCCUACACCCCAGCCAUCUCAAUCCCAUUUCAUCAGCAUCAAGUCCAGCUCUUCAUAAGUCGUCUGCUCAUCUCAUCCUGCAUCCCACACCACCACCACCACCCAUGUCCAGACUCCACAAGGGGGGUGCCCUGCCCUGCCGUUGCCUUCACUACCCCUUUGAGUACAUGAAGACAUCACAAUUUAAUUUUUAUCUCUACAGACAUUGCACAUUUCUUUAUCAUCGUUUUUUGACUGCCUCUCUCACCCUCAGAUCAAUUGACUUCAAUGAAACCUGGUCCACUUUCAUCAAUAAACUAACUCAGACUGUCACCUGAUUUCCAAUAUCGUUCCAUAACUCAUGCUUUUAGUUGGCCAUUCUAAUGAGAAUUGUUAAUUGAUAAUUAUUAUUAUCAUUAUAGUUACCAUUACUUUAUUAUUAUUAUUAUUAUUAUUAUUAUUGUUAUUAUUAUUAUUAUUAUUAUACUAUUAAGGAAUGGGAUAAUGAUAAUAAUAAUGAUGUGAUUGUUUCUUAUUAUUGCUAUUAUUGUUAUUGUCAUUUUUAAUUAUGAUUUACAAAUCUAUAGUUUGACUUUCCUGACAACACACUCCCUCCUCCCCACACAUCAGUGAUACUGCCAAGGGCCUCAGUUGUCAUUAUUAAUAAUAACUACCCCAUAUUUAUAUACAAGUUAUUAUUGUUCAUAUUAUGGUGGUAUUAUAUAUUGCUAUAUAUAUAUAUGUAUAUAUAUAUAUAUGUAUAUAUAUAUAUAUAUACAUAUAUAUAUAUACACACACAAACACACACACAUGUACAGUGCAAGUCAUGUGUACUCCUUAGAGUACACAGGCAAAAUGUUAAUGUUAUACUUUAUCUAACAGUCAAAAGCAUAAGAGAAAAGCAGUGUUUUAAGACCACUCUUAAAAGAACUUAAAGUGUCUACUGACCUCAGGUCAACUGGCAACUUAUUCUAUAGAACAGCACCAUAGUGGCUAAAUGCACCUUCACCUGAUUUGUAUUUAACUUUAGGCACAUUUAGAAGGCCCAUACCCGAAGAUCUGAGCGACCUAGUUGGGUGAUAGUGAGUGAGCAUGUCAGAAAUAUACUGGGGUGCAAUACCAUUAAGUGAUUUAUAAACAAGAAGUAGCACUUUAAAAUCGAUUCUAUAUUGGACGGGAAGACAGUGAAGAUUUUUCAGGAUUGGUGUGAUGUGUUCGAUUUUCUUUGUUCUUGUUAGAAUGCGGGCUGCAGGGUUUUGGAUGAGUUGAAGGUGAUUUAUUGUCUUUUUUGGAAGUCCAGCAUAGAGAGCGUUACAGUAAUCUAAUCUGUUGGAUAUGAAUGCAUGGACCAGUUUUUCUGAAUCAGUCUGAGACAUGAAUGACCAAAGUUUGGAAAUGUUUUUUAAAUGGUAGAAGGCUGUUUUGGUGAUGGCAGUUAUAUGUUGUUGAAAGUUUAAGUCUGAAUCAAUUAUAACUCCAAGAUUUCUGACGUGCUCACUGUACUGAAAAGGAGAUGAAGAUGAAAGCGAAAUGAAUUCUUGUCUCUGUUUUUGUGGACCAACUAGCAGGAUUUCCGUUUUAUCUGUGUUGAGCUGAAGAAAAUUCUGUGACAUCCAAUGGUGUAUUUCAUCGAUGCAUUUGACAAAGUGAUUUAUGGGAUUGAGAUUGCCAGGGGAGAGUGAGACAUAAAGCUGUAUCAUCGGCAUAUGAAUAGUAUGAGACAUUGUGUUUCUGAAUGAGUGAACCAAGUGGGAGCAUGUAAAGGCUGAACAACAGUGGACCAAGAACUGAUCCUUGUGGCACCCAACAGUCCAGACUGAAAUAGAAAGAUGGAGAGUUUGUUUGAAUCAUUGUUGAGUUUUAAAUCGUUGAUAACCUUUACCAGUGCUGUUUCUGUGCUGUGAUUGGUUCUGAAUCCUGAUUGGUAGACAUCAUUCAGAUUGUUAUGGGUGAGGUAAUUGUGUAAUUAAUUGUAGACGAAUUUUUCUAUGAUUUUACUGAAGGGAAGGUUGGAGAUGGGCCUGUAGUUGCUAAUUAUUGAUGGGUCAAGCUUGUUAUGUUUGAGUAAUGGAGUGAUAAUGGCGUGCUUUAGAGAAAUGGGGAAAUCACCAGACUGAAGAGAUGCAUUGAUAAUAUAGAGUAGAUCCUGUAACAUAACAUGAGAGACACACUUAAAUAGUUUUGUAGGAAUGGGGUCGAGAGAACAGGUAGAGGAUUUGAGGUGUUUGAUAACUUCCUCAAGGUCAUUAAUGUUCACAGGUUUAAAAUUGCACAUGUUGGUCUGGGAAUUUUUGUAAAUUGAGGAACACAGAAGGUCAGAGGUGCUGUUUUGUAGUUGAAGAGUGUUAGAUCUGAUGGUGGUAAUUUUUUCCUUGAAGUAUGUUGCAAAUUCAUUACACUUGUUUGAGGAGAGGAAGUCAGCAGGGGUUGAUCUGGUGGGAUUAAUUAGUUUAUCAAUUGUACAGAACAGGUAGCGGGUAUUAUUUUUGUUUUCAUUGAUCAUUUUUGAGAUGUGCUGCUGUUUUGACAUUUUGAUUUCUUUAUUGUAGGUGAUUAGUGUUUGUUUGUAGAUUUCAUAAUGUACGUACAGUUUGCUCUUUCGCCAUUUUCUUUCAGCCUUUCUUCAGGAUCUUUUUAGCAUCCUCACUCUUCCCCCGUUUCGAGCCUUUGUUUUUUUGUUAAUUUAUUUAGUUUUUACGGGUGCAAUAUUAUCAAUGAUGUUACUCACUGUUUUGUUGAAAUUGUCCAUCAUGUCGCUGCAUGAUGACAUGAUGGGCAAAUUAUGACUACUGUACUGCUGAAUGAACUCAGAAGAAGCAUUUUUAUCAAUACAACGUUUGUUAACAGUUCUGACCACAUUGUCAUUUGUGGUGAAACAGGUCAUACUGAAAAAGAUGCAAAAAUGGUCUGAGAGUGCAAUGUCCAGAAUACCAGGGAUUGUUAUGGUAAUAUUGAGGCCUUUUGAUAGAACCAGGUCAAGGGUAUGUCCAUGCUUAUGUGUGGGUCCGGUAACAUGCUGUAUAAAUUUAAAUGUGUCCAAGAUAUUAAGAAAUUGUUUUGUGUCCAGAUUAGCAGAAUUGUCUAUAUGUAUAUUAAAAUCACCAGAAAUGACAAUG